rnacentral:rRNA from 1 species
UACGUAGGGUGCAAGCGUUGUCCGGAAUUAUUGGGCGUAAAGAGCUCGUAGGCGGUCUGUCGCGUCGGCUGUGAAAACCCCGAGGCUCAACCUCGGGCCUGCAGUCGAUACGGGCAAACUAGAGUACUGCAGGGGAGACUGGAAUUCCUGGUGUAGCGGUGAAAUGCGCAGAUAUCAGGAGGAACACCGGUGGCGAAGGCGGGUCUCUGGGCAGUGAACUGACGCUGGAGGAGC